AUGCUGGUAUCUUUUCAGGUAAGCAUGGUUAUUGGUGAUAGGGGUCUACUUACGUUUAUACAUGGAGCAUGCACUAUCACUUCUUGGUUGUCGAUAAUGGAAGUGGAUUGUUGUUUUACCGUCGCACAUCAAGUGUUCGAUGAAAUGCCCCAGCUGGAUUUCUUCUUCUUCUUUCUUUUGCAUUAUAGAUUGUUCCAGUUCAAGAAGUUUCGUUCUUUGUUGUCAGGAAAAGAAAAAAGACCUUUGAGAUGUAUAAUGCCCACAUUCAUCUUGAAAAAUGAUUUCAAACCAAGAGUUAUUUGA